GGAGAGCAGGAAGGAGGAGGGAGAUGACAGGUGAGAAGGAGGCAUCAGAACCAGCUGCUGCAUGGGGUGGAGAGAUGUGAGCUCCUGGAGCAGAAAGCACCACAAGAAAAAUGAUCAGCUGACCUCCGUGCACUGGAGAGCUCUGUGUCAGGUGGCAUGUCUUCACGGUGGAGCCUGAAUGAGAAAUAGCAGCAGUGGCCAAAUCUACAGCUUUCUACACUCCAAACUCCAUCCGUGCACCCUGAAGAAGCGUCUCUCCACCAUCGGCUCCAGUUCCACUGUUCCCCUUGCUGAGCUUCACCUAUCCCAGUUCAUGUUCAAAUUUCACAGUAAUCUCAUAGCUCUAGCUAAUAGUAUUUUCCCGUUCACAUUCAUAACACUGAAUUCACUUUGUCUGAGACCUCAUAGUUCAUGUUCAUUCGCUCUAGCCUCAUUCCUAGCUUUUGCACCUGUAAAUAUUGUCAUAACACCACUGUAAAUAAAACUCUU